CAGUAGCCGCGGUAAUACGUAGGUCCCGAGCGUUGUCCGGAUUUAUUGGGCGUAAAGCGAGCGCAGGCGGUUAGAUAAGUCUGAAGUUAAAGGCUGUGGCUUAACCAUAGUACGCUUUGGAAACUGUUUAACUUGAGUGCAAGAGGGGAGAGUGGAAUUCCAUGUGCAGCGGUGAAAUGCGUAGAUAUAUGGAGGAACACCGGUGGCGAAAGCGGCUCUCUGGCUUGUAACUGACGCUGAGGCUCGAAAGCGUGGGGCGCAAACAGGAUUAGAUACCCGGGUAGUCCCUGUCUCUUAUACA
rnacentral:rRNA from 1 species